CGCAACAAGCUUACGGCACAAAACAACAGUAUAUUGCACCUGGCAAUUGAUAACAUUAUAGCUUAUAUUGAUCACAGCGGUUUAUGGACCACAAAUUGAAGUCAAUAAUAUUGACACCAAUCACGGAUAUCUCCUUUUUUUUCUGAUAAGCCAGUCCAUAUACCAUCCUCCCUCGAACAUCAGUGAUAAAUUGUACUGAAUCAAUUGUACUGAAAUAGACAUCGUGGUUGACUAUUUUGAGCAAAGUCUACGAACCGAUUACCAUGCACCCCAGGUCAAAUUUUUAAGCCCGGAAUAAACAUAGAAACAAAACGGGGCUUAUUAACAUUGUGUGCUUAAUUUUGAAAUAUUUAUUGAAAAUGAUCGAGUAGAAAUACAGAAGAAACUUGAAAUCAACGCCCAUAACUCAAUAAAAUUACAUGAGCUCAGCGACGCCUAUACUAUUGCCAAAUGAAGGAAUGCAAAAGUUUAAGGAAUACGUAGAAGAUUUGGAAAUGGCUAUGCAGCUUUCCAGAUUCGGAAAAUUACUAAAAAAACAUAAAACAUUCACUUGGAUUAACCAAAGACAUUAGAAAAACAACGGCCAUACGUAGGAUUGGUACUAUGCAGCCACUUUUUUGGAGACGUCCAAAAUUGACCUCUGUUCCCUCGCGUAAAACUGAGAGCCGAAGAAAUAUUAAAAAAGAAUUUGCUUGUUUGUGAGAGUAAAAACAAUAGACGGGAAAGUGUAUGUG